GGGCUCCGGGCGGCCGUGACCCUGCUGGAGUCCGGGGGGGACCUCCAGCCCCCCGGGGGGUCCCUGCACCUCCUCUGCCGCGCCUCUGGAUUUGAUUUUGGGAAAUUUGAGAUGGACUGGUAUCGCCAGAGACCUGGGAAGGGGCUGGAAUACGUUGCAGAGAUCAGCAGCGAUGGUCGCACCACGCUCUACGCUCCAUCCGUGCGUGGCCGGUUCAGCAUCAGCAGGGACAACGGGCAGAGCUCGGUGACGCUGAGCAUGAACAACCUCCAGGACGAGGAUUCCGGGGUUUAUUUCUGUGCCAAAUCUGCUGAGGCUGGUGUUAAUGGUGCUGCUGAUGUGCCGGAAAGUUCCAAGGCCCAGGCCCAGGUGGGUCCCGGCCGUGAGCUGCCGGGGUUUGGCUGGUUCUGA